rnacentral:miRNA from 2 species
UCUGGAAGAACCUCUAGGUACAC